UGCAGACCCCGAAGAAGGACUGGCUCCUCGGUGCUGAUGGCUGUCCUUCUAAACCAGAGGGGAGUCCAAAAGCUUCAGUGCAGGAGGAAGGCAGUGAGUGUUAGCCCUGACCUGCGCUGAGCCCUGAGAAGAAAGCUUCCUUCGCCCGCGUCCUCCCGCUGGCUGAGUCAGCCAGGACCCUGCUGUGCGAGGUCCAUAUGGGGCAGGUGCAUCUGCCAACACGGCCAAACUGAAGGUUCGCUCGCACCAGGACCAGUCGUGGGUGAACUCUUUGCACGCUCUUGACGUCAGGUCUUUGUGGACUCAGUGGGAACUGAGAACAAUUCCAUCCGUACGACGUCCAGAUGAACCUUGCUGGUCGGAGAGGAAACUUCUGACCACCCCGAGCUGAGCUUUGUGUUCCUCAGGCCCCAAAACACAUUCUAGGAGAACAUCUGGAUGACUUUCUGUAUGGCAAUGACUUUUUAGAUAUAACACGAAAGGCACAAUUGAUGAAAUAAGUAAUUGAUAAGCCAGACAUCAAUAAAAUUAAAUAUAUCUGCUCUACAAAAGACAAGAUCAGGAGAAUGGGAAGGCAAGCCACAGACUGGAAGAAAAUACUUGCAAAUAUACAUCUAAUAAAGUAUGGCUGCCCGCA
rnacentral:misc_RNA from 1 species